ACUCCAAUAUUCACCUAAUACCUGCACGAGGAAGCUAGUGUUCUACUUGCAGCUUCAACUUAGCAUCACUCGACAAGCAUAGCAAGAUGGAGAAGAAUAAACAUGAUGCAAAUCCUGGGGAGGUUAAUGAUAAGAUGAAAUGGGUUCAUGAUUCUUCAUUGGAUCACAGACGCAGAGUUCCUCUUCGAACUUCAACUGGCUCUUGGAAAGCUUCUCUCUUCAUUAUCGCGAUUGAGUUUAGUGAGAGAUUGAGCUAUUUCGGAAUAGCAACUAGCUUGGUCCUUUACCUCACAAAGGUUAUUCAUCAAGAUCUUAAGACAGCAGUUAAGAAUGUGAACUAUUGGUCUGGUGUCACUACUUUGAUGCCACUGUUCGGAGGAUUCCUUGCUGAUGCAUACUUGGGCCGUUACACCACUGUGAUUGCAUCAUGCAUUAUUUAUCUUAUGGGUUUGGUGGUGCUUUGUCUGUCAUGGUUCUUACCAGGUUUGAAGCCAUGUGAUCAUUCCAACAUGUGCAGUGAACCUAGGAGAAUUCAUGAAGUGGUUUUCUUCCUAGCUAUGUAUUUGAUCUCCAUAGGAACUGGAGGACAUAAACCUUCCUUGGAAAGCUUUGGAGCAGAUCAAUUUGAUGAUAACCAUGCUGAAGAAAGAAGACAGAAAAUGUCCUUCUUCAACUGGUGGAACUGUGGUCUCUGCAGUGGACUCAUUCUAGGAGUGACCCUUAUUGUUUACGUACAAGACCAUGUGAACUGGGGUGUUGCUGACAUCAUUCUCACUUGUGUCAUGGCUUUCUCAUUGCUCAUAUUCUUGAUAGGAAGGUCAUCAUAUCGCUAUAGAGCACCAACUGGGAGCCCCUUUACUCCUAUGUUGCAGGUUCUUGUUGCUGCUAUUUCCAAAAGGAAGCUUCCAUACCCUUCCAAUCCCACUCAAUUGUAUGAGGUUUCCAAGUCUGAGGGCAACAGGGAAAGAUUUCUAGCUCACACCAAGAAACUCAAAUUUCUUGACAAGGCAGCAAUUCUUGAAAAUGAUGGGAACUUGGCACAGAAGCAGAGUCCCUGGAAACUUGCAACAGUAACUAAGGUUGAAGAAAUGAAGCUCAUAAUCAACAUGAUCCCCAUUUGGGUAUUCACAUUACCAUUUGGGGUUUGUGCUUCACAAACAACUACUUUCUUCAUCAAACAAGGAGCCAUCAUGGACAGAAAGAUAGGCAACGGGUUUGAGAUUCCUCCACCCUCAAUUUUCACUCUUGCUGCGAUUGGGAUGAUAAUUUCAGUGACAGUUUAUGACAAACUCCUUGUGCCAGUGUUGAGAAGGCUAACAGGAAAUGAGAGAGGAAUGAACAUCCUUCAAAGGAUUGGUUUUGGAAUGCUAUUCUCAGUUAUCACAAUGAUAGUGGCAGCUUUGGUAGAAAAAAAGAGGCUUCAAGUUGUUGAUAUGAAUGGCCCAUUAAAGGGGUCUUUGUCAAUGAGUGUCUUUUGGUUGGCCCCACAAUUUCUAAUUAUUGGGUUUGGAGAUGGGUUCGCUCUUGUGGGCUUGCAAGAGUACUUUUAUGAUCAAGUACCAGAUUCAAUGAGAAGCUUGGGAAUAGCACUUUACCUAAGUGUACUUGGGGCAGCAAGUUUUCUUAGUAGUUUGUUGAUAAUAAUUGUGGAUCAGGUGACGACUAAGAGUGGGAAGAGUUGGUUUGGUAAGGAUUUGAAUAGUAGCCGUUUGGACAAGUUCUAUUGUCUACUGGCAAUUAUGACCGGAUUGAACCUUUUUGUGUUUGUGUUCUUUGCUCGUGAGUACUCCUAUAAGAAUGUGCAAAAGGUUGCAGUGGCUGAUUGUUAUGAAGGCAAAAGUGAUGAUGGUGGAGCAGAGAUAAUGGUUUGAAUUAGUGAAAUUUAGUUAUACAUAGCAUAAACGACUAGGAUUUCAUCCUCUGAUGAUGAAAAUAUGUGCUUUCACUAGGCAUGCCAUGUUUUCUACCAAUUGAAAGCUGUUAUAAUCAUGUGUUUGUUACUUGAUUUUGGAAAAAUAAUCUCAACAUGUCGUUGAUUGCUUAUGAGCUAUUAUCCAAACCAAGAGCUUUUUAUUUAUAUGUUUAUGGUGCUAUGGCAAG